rnacentral:rRNA from 1 species
AUUGAACGCUGGCGGAAUGCUUUACACAUGCAAGUCGAACGGCAGCACGGGGGCAACCCUGGUGGCGAGUGGCGAACGGGUGAGUAAUACAUCGGAACGUGCCCUGUCGUGGGGGAUAACGUAGCGAAAGUUACGCUAAUACCGCAUACGAUCUGAGGAUGAAAGCGGGGGACCUUCGGGCCUCGCGCGAUCGGAGCGGCCGAUGUCAGAUUAGGUAGUUGGUGGGGUAAAGGCCUACCAAGCCGACGAUCUGUAGCUGGUCUGAGAGGACGACCAGCCACACUGGGACUGAGACACGGCCCAGACUCCUACGGGAGGCAGCAGUGGGGAAUUUUGGACAAUGGGCGCAAGCCUGAUCCAGCCAUUCCGCGUGCAGGACGAAGGCCUUCGGGUUGUAAACUGCUUUUGUAUGGAACGAAAAGGCUCUGGCUAAUACCUGGGGCUCAUGACGGUACCGUAAGAAUAAGCACCGGCUAACUACGUG